rnacentral:lncRNA from 1 species
CCUGCUCCGGCUGCGGCUCGCGCUGUCCCCGGCUUGGCCGCGCGGGAUGCCGCCCGGGCGGAGCGCUGACGUCACCGCCAUGCUCUGCACCAGUUCUUCCCCCUCCCCUUUACACUUCCUCUGUGGAGCCCACUUGUUGCUCAGGCAAGGCGCAUGCGCGGCAGGACGCCCAGAUUCCUCCCAGCCGGCCCCUCCUCCGCGCCUCCGCCCUCCCCUCCCCCCUCGCCGUGUGUGUACAACAGCUGAGGCCCGGCGAGCUAAUGCUGGAAGUCCAGAGCUGGGGGUGGAAAUUAAACAGACGAUGACCUUUCCUUUCCCUGCCGGGCAUUCCCAAGUAAAAACGCAUUUAAGAACCACUAGCGUCGUUUCCGAUCCCUGCUCCCCACCCCACCCCCAAGCCUCGGCAGUGAAUUUAAAUGUCCUGUUUCAGGAUUUUUCGCCGUGAAUUUCGUAUAAGGAACCCGGGCUUCAACGAUAGAGCUAAAUGAAUUCAGAGUGCGCUACCCUUCCCCCCAGCCGCACUUUAAAAAUUUUGGCUGAACGUCUGAAGAAGAUACGAGCACCCCGAGGCCUUUAAGGAAAACAGGCAACUGGCUGCGCACAGCUGCAGUUCAGGGCAGGGAGGGGGAGGGGCCGGAGAGGCCAAACAGGUUGGUCAGCGGGUCAUGGCAAGCAGGAGACACAAUGCUAAUGACUCCGGCUCCACGUGGCGACCAUUCAGGAAAAAGCUGCAAUGUUCUCUCUGCCACAUUAAUCAGAGAAACACAUCAAGAGUUGUUGCGUGGAGACAGCUUUCCUCCCAGUACUCGCCCUGCAUACUAAUCACCACCCCCUCCUGGCGGUGAGUCAGCUCCAAACCAGGCCGGUGGUGGUAAGGGAAGGCCAGAAACACCAGCUCCAUCCACGUGGGGAGCAGCUGGAGGAGCGGGAGCCAGGCCCUCCACCGCCCAACAUGCACUGUGUGUGACCAUCAUGGAGGCCUGAGAUGCGGUUUCACUCUGUUGCCCAGGCUAGAGUGCACUAAUACAAUCAUAGCUUACUGCACCCUCAACCUCCUGGGCUCAAGCAAUCCUCCUGCCUCAGCCUCAUGAGUAGCUGGGACUACAGGCACCACUGUGGACCCCUGCUCUGCACCCCCAGGAGGAGUGGGACUGCUUCAAGGGCAGCCUGGAGGAAAGAGGUGUGGUGUGAACACAUACAACAUGUUCCUUAACCAGGAAGGCGACUGGAGUCUUUACCUGGUUUCAAAGCAGCCAAGCCUAGAGGCCCCCACCCCUUGUUCUUUAUUAUGAUUGCCCUUUGACCCCAACCCCCCAAUUCUUUCCUCUCCAGAUCCCCAGCCAUGCAUACUCCAACUUGGUUCUGCAAAGAAUACCCAGCCACAGCUGUGAACUUGGGGAAACACAUUUUUUCUUUUUCUUUUCUUUUCUUUUUUUUUUUUUUUUGAGAGGGAGUCUCACUCUGUUGCCCAGGCUGAGGUACAGUGGCGUGAUCUUGACUCACUGCAACCUCCACCUCCCAGGUUCAAGCAAUUCUUCUGCCUAAGCCUCCUGAGUAGCUAGGACUACAGGCAUGUGCCACCACCCCCAGCUAAUUUUUGUAUUUUUAGUAGAGAUGGGGUUUCACCAUGCUGGCCAGGCUGGGCUUGAACUCCUGGCCUCAAGCAGUCCUCUCACCUUGCCUCCCAAGGUGCUAGGAUUAUAGGCUUGAGCCACCAUGCAUGUGCACGGCCAGCACAUUCAUUUUCUAUACAUAACUGUCUCCCAGCUCUUCAGGCCAACUUACCUGAUAAUGAUAAAAAUAACUAAGCUGCCAUGGAUUGGGCAGUGUGCCAAGUGCUCCAUGUAUAUUACCUUACUUAGUUUUCACAAACUCUAUGAGGUAGGUACCACUAUUAUUUACAGGUGAGGAAAUGGAGGCUCAGAGAGGUUAAGUGAAUUGAUCCAGGCCACACAGCUGGUAAGCGCCAGAGCCACUAGUGGACGCCAGGUCCAGCCAGCCCCCAGAGCCCAUGUGCUGAGCCACUGUGCUAUACUGACUCCCACUUAAUUCUCUCUUCUGGGUUGUCCCAAAGACCAAGUUCGGCUGGCCAAUUUUCCAGGACCAUCUCUCAUGGCACCUGGAGGCUUGUAGGUUCCUGGAGGACUCUCACACCUCCUUCCCACCCUUCUCCAGAUUCUCCAACUCCCUCUUGAGCAGACCCGGCCCCACUCUGGGGCACCCUGCCUUCCUGGGACCUGUCGUAACAGUCACCCACUCUGCCAGGGCCUGGCUGACCCAGGCUGGGGACCGUGGGACCCCUCUGGGCAGUGCCCCCCUACCUGGGCCCAGGUGGGUAUGGAUUUCUUUCUUCUGGGCCAUUGCACCCGCCAGAAGGUGCGGUGGGAGAGGCAGGCCCACAUUUCAGAGGGCCUUGCUGCCCCCAUGUGGCAUGAGGCUGUAGCGGCUGCAGCCUCCUCUUCCCUCCCUCCUGCCACUGCUCCCGAAGCCAAGGCUUUUGCAGGGUUGAAAAGGAAGAGAAAGAGGAGAAGCAGGAAUGUGAGAGAAAUGAGGCAGAGGGAUGGGCUAGGGAAGAGAGAAGCCCUUCUGCGUUACCUGGAAAUGCAGCAACAAUAAUAACAAAGCCAAUGUUAGGAAUGUUUAAAGGCAGCUGCCACAUAGCACUUUUUAUAGCUUGUAGACUCUCUCAUUUAAUCCUGGCACUUACAUCAAUCUGAUUAGUAGCUAUUAUUAGUUUUAUAGGUGAUGAUCCAAGGCGCAAUUAUUUGUUCCCCAGCUAGUAGGUGACAGAGCCCAGAUUGAAUCUGACUCCAGAACCCUAACCACGAUAUUCCCCUGUCUAGAAGGAGCCAGUUCUCUCCUGCAACCCCCACUGCUCAGCCUCUAGGAGUUCCAGCCACCAGCCACCUGCACCCUCCCUUCCAUGUGGCUUUGCCCUCUGUUCUUCUCCUCUCCACUCUCUCUCCAAGGUCCAAGUGGUCAAGGUCAUCCCAAGGGUCUGCUGGGACCGUGUGUCCUUAUUCUGUGCCUUGCUGGUCGCCAACCUUCCCCAUCUGCCAAGGACUGAUGUCCAGCCCAGGCCCAGGUGCAGGUGCCCAGGUCAUUUUUGCCACUGAGUAAAGGGAGACAGAAUGACAGGGUAAAUUACCAACCACCAGAACACCAUGGAGCCAAUAGCAUCAAUGCAAGUGAAGUAUAUUUAUCUGUUGGCCUGAAAACAUGUCCUAGUAUAUUGUCCCAUUAAGCAAAAAGCAGGUUAUAAAGCUGUGUACAUUAA